rnacentral:rRNA from 1 species
AUUGAACGCUGGCGGCAGGCCUAACACAUGCAAGUCGAGCGGACGCACGGUAAGUGCUCGUGUUUUCAGCUGGCGACGGGCGGGUGAGUCAUACGUACAUCCCCGUCUACUUUGGCUAGGGUGAGGACGGGGGCGCUCAUACCCUAUACGUCCAUAGGACGAACGGGGGGAAUCAUCGGACCUACCGCCUUUUGCUGAGCCUAGGACGGAUUAGCGAGUUGGUGGGGUAAAGGCCUAACAAGGCGACGAUCCGUAGCUGGUCUGAGAGGAUGAUCAGCCACACUGGAACUGAGACACGGUCCAGACUCCUACGGGAGGCAGCAGUGGGGAAUAUUGGACAAUGGGCGAAAGCCUGAUCCAGCCAUGCCGCGUGUGUGAAGAAGGUCUUCGGAUUGUAAAGCACUUUUAUUGGGGAAGAAGAGCAGUAUGUGAAUACCUUGCUGUUUUGACGGUACCUAAAGAAUAAGCACCGGCUAACUUCGUG